GACGAAGGUGGCGAGCGUUGUUCGGAAUCACUGGGCAUAAAGCGCACGUAGGCGGUGGCGUAAGUCGGAUGUGAAAUCCCUCGGCCUAACCGAGGAACUGCGUCCGAUACUGCGAUGCUUGAGGAUCAGAGGGGUGCAUGGAAUUUCCGGUGGAGCGGUGAAAUGCGUUGAUAUCGGAAGGAACUCCGGCGGCGAAAGCGAUGCACUGGCUGAUUUCUGACGCUGAGGUGCGAAAGCCAGGGGAGCAAACGGG
rnacentral:rRNA from 1 species